rnacentral:rRNA from 1 species
CCUACGGGGGGCAGCAGUGGGGAAUAUUGCACAAUGGGCGCAAGCCUGAUGCAGCCAUGCCGCGUGUGUGAAGAAGGCCUUCGGGUUGUAAAGCACUUUCAGCGGGGAGGAAGGCGGUGAGGUUAAUAACCUCAUCGAUUGACGUUACCCGCAGAAGAAGCACCGGCUAACUCCGUGCCAGCAGCCGCGGUAAUACGGAGGGUGCAAGCGUUAAUCGGAAUUACUGGGCGUAAAGCGCACGCAGGCGGUCUGUCAAGUCGGAUGUGAAAUCCCCGGGCUCAACCUGGGAACUGCAUUCGAAACUGGCAGGCUAGAGUCUUGUAGAGGGGGGUAGAAUUCCAGGUGGAGCGGUGAAAUGCGUAGAGAUCUGGAGGAAUACCGGUGGCGAAGGCGGCCCCCUGGACAAAGACUGACGCUCAGGUGCGAAAGCGUGGGGAGCAAACAGGAUUAGAUACCCCUGUAGUC